AGUGUACUUGUUUUGGAUGGUCAGUAUAUACCAGAUGAAAGCACACUGUGCUCUGCCCCACCUGGAACACCCAACCCUGUUAGUGUGCUCUGCCUGCACAUCACCAGAGAUGUCAGCAAAGGGGAGCAAGUGAUGGUGGCUGCAAGUUUUAUUUUUAUUUGCAUUUUUGUGGACCUCAAGCAUGGAUCUGUAGCAGCAAUAUGUGAUGUCUUAACUUGUGAAUAUGCAUCUUCAAAAUGCGUCAGCAAGGCCAGAAGGAAAGUGGAAGGGGACCAAACUCAAGCUCCCUGAGGAAACUGAACAUCUACCAAUGCUUGGCCAGGAGAACACUGAAGGACCUGUGACAGAGGAAGGCUUGUUCUCAUGACUAGCUUCUCAAAAAGCCACUAAUAGUGCUGGCAAACAUCUGACCCAGGAAUAUCACUUCCAUUUUUCAGAUAUCCCUCUUCAAUUAAAGCUGAAUUCCCAGGAAAAUAAAAACUCAUGAAAUAUUUAAAUAGAUAUUUUAAUAGAGAAAGAAAUUCUUAGAAUAAUGAGUCAGGACAUUCCCAGUGGUCCUCUCAUAUUUGCUACCGUAGGUCCUGUGUGGGUGCUAGUGGUUUUGUGCAACAGCUUCCUAGAUUAUGCCUGAUUAAAUGUGCAAGAGAUGAUCUGUAGGUUCAAAGAGCCUAUAGAGCCCAAAGAGACUGUAUUCAGCAUGGUGGCCAGGAGGGUCUCUGAAUUCCCUCUUCUUCACCCAGGAAUGAGAUAUAAGCUGUGAUACAAGUUUUGAACCGAAAAGGUUUUCCUCCCAUCCAGCUUCAAAAGUACCUGAUUUGUACAUGUGACCUAAUAAACAUCCUCUUAUUUGUCUGGCUUUUGCAAAAAUUAGAAAUACCCAAUUUUCCCACUUAGAUGUCCCACAGUGAGUCACUUUUGCACCAAAAAUUCCCAAACCUUUGCUUUCUCAUGUUGCUUCUGGUUUUCACUUGGUCUUCAAAAGAAGGAAAACUGACUAUACUUGUACUUUAUAGCUUAUGGCCACAACGGCAUCCGAGCAGUUCUCUCCCCCACUCUGGUGCGCUCUCAGCAGCAGAAAGCUCAUAAGAAUCCAGCAACCACCACAUCUAAAUCCAACAUCUGGCUCCAGUCAGCUUCAGACAUGAACCUAAACACCACUCUAUCUUAUCAUCCUUUUUUUGCUUUAUCUUCCCAGUGUGACAGGAGUUUCAUCUCUUUAAAUAUACACAUUCCCUGUCUUUAAAUACCAAGUCUCAUCUGGCCUAGCUAUAAUUAAACCAUAUUAGAGUAACUUAAUUUCAUUUCACAAAUAGCCUAUAGAGUACAAAAAAAAUUGCACAAAUUAAUGAGUGGCUCUUUGUAUUGAUUUCAUUUAUUCCUGUUGUCUGGCCUUAAACAGGAUUAUGACUUGAAAAGUCAGGGUAAACUGUAGAUAAAAUUUUUGAUUGCCCAACACUGGAAGGGUUAGAAAACUGUAAACACAUAGUCUGAAAAAGAUAUUUACUACUUUACUUCAAGAGCCUCCAUUAUUCAGUUCACAGGUCCCUUAAGUCCAUGUUAUCUAACAAGUUAUCCUCAACAUACUGGCAACACAUUAAUGGAAAUGUUACAUUUAGUCAAAAUUUGUAAAAUUCUUACAGAUAAGU